rnacentral:rRNA from 1 species
AACGGCCGCGGUAUCUUGACCGUGUGAAGGUAGCGUAAUCAUUUGUCUUUUAAAUGAAGACCUGUAUGAAUGGCGCAACGAGAGCUUAACUGUCUCACUCUCUUAGUCAAUGAAAUUGAUCUCCCCGUGCAGAAGCGAGGAUAAAAACAUAAGACGAAAAGACCCUAUGGAGCUUUAGAAUCUGAAACAGCCCAGACAACCCUAAGUAUUUAUAUUUCUGACCCCUGCUUCAAAUUUCUUCGGUUGGGGCGACCAUGGAGAAAAACAAAACCUCCACGAAAAGACCACACACUUCUUUUAAAUAUAGAGCCACAACUCUAAUUCUCAGAAGAUCUGCCUAUAAAUGAUCCGGCGUAACAGCCGAUCAACGAAACAAGUUACCCUAGGGAUAACAGCGCAAUCCCCUUUUAGAGCCCACAUCGACAAGGGGGUUUACGACCUCGAUGUUGGAUCAGGACAUCCUAAU